UACGGAAGGUCCGGGCGUUAUCCGGAUUUAUUGGGUUUAAAGGGAGCGCAGGCCGUUUGCUAAGCGUGCCGUGAAAUGUACCGGCUCAACCGGUGAGUUGCGGCGCGAACUGGCGGACUUGAGUGCGUACGAGGAUGGCGGAAUUCGUGGUGUAGCGGUGAAAUGCUUAGAUAUCACGAAUAACUCCGAUUGCGAAGGCAGCUGUCCAGUCCGUAACUGACGCUAAUGCUAAGGUGCGGGUAUCGAACAG
rnacentral:rRNA from 1 species